UACGUAGGGGGCAAGCGUUGUCCGGAAUUACUGGGCGUAAAGCGCGUGUAGGCGGGACGGCAAGUCUGACGUGAAAGGCUGGGGCUCAACCCCAGAUCGCCGUUGGAAACUGCCGUUCUUGAGGGUCGAAGAGGAGAGUGGAAUUCCUGGUGUAGCGGUGAAAUGCGUAGAGAUCAGGAGGAACACCCGUGGCGAAGGCGGCUCUCUGGUCGACAUCUGACGCUGAGACGCGAAAGCGUGGGGAGCGAACGGG
rnacentral:rRNA from 1 species